rnacentral:rRNA from 1 species
UACAGAGGGUGCAAGCGUUAAUCGGAAUUACUGGGCGUAAAGCGUGCGUAGACGGUUGCGUAAGUCAGAUGUGAAAGCCCCGGGCUCAACCUGGGAAUUGCAUUUGAGGCUGCGUAGCUAGGGUGCGGAAGAGGGAAGCGGAAUUUCCGGUGUAGCGGUGAAAUGCGUAGAUAUCGGAAGGAACACCAGUGGCGAAAGCGGCUUCCUGGUCCAGCACCGACGUUCAGGCACGAAAGCGUGGGGAGCAAACAGG